GGUUAAGCGACUAAGCGUACACGGUGGAUGCCCUGGCAGUCAGAGGCGAUGAAGGACGUGCUAAUCUGCGAUAAGCGUCGGUAAGGUGAUAUGAACCGUUAUAACCGGCGAUUUCCGAAUGGGGAAACCCAGUGUGUUUCGACACACUAUCAUUAACUGAAUCCAUAGGUUAAUGAGGCGAACCGGGGGAACUGAAACAUCUAAGUACCCCGAGGAAAAGAAAUCAACCGAGAUUCCCCCAGUAGCGGCGAGCGAACGGGGAGCAGCCCAGAGCCUGAAUCAGUGUGUGUGUUAGUGGAAGCGUCUGGAAAGGCGCGCGAUACAGGGUGACAGCCCCGUACACAAAAAUGCACAUGCUGUGAGCUCGAUGAGUAGGGCGGGACACGUGGUAUCCUGUCUGAAUAUGGGGGGACCAUCCUCCAAGGCUAAAUACUCCUGACUGACCGAUAGUGAACCAGUACCGUGAGGGAAAGGCGAAAAGAACCCCGGCGAGGGGAGUGAAAAAGAACCUGAAACCGUGUACGUACAAGCAGUGGGAGCACGCUUAGGCGUGUGACUGCGUACCUUUUGUAUAAUGGGUCAGCGACUUAUAUUCUGUAGCAAGGUUAACCGAAUAGGGGAGCCGAAGGGAAACCGAGUCUUAACUGGGCGUUAAGUUGCAGGGUAUAGACCCGAAACCCGGUGAUCUAGCCAUGGGCAGGUUGAAGGUUGGGUAACACUAACUGGAGGACCGAACCGACUAAUGUUGAAAAAUUAGCGGAUGACUUGUGGCUGGGGGUGAAAGGCCAAUCAAACCGGGAGAUAGCUGGUUCUCCCCGAAAGCUAUUUAGGUAGCGCCUCGUGAAUUCAUCUCCGGGGGUAGAGCACUGUUUCGGCAAGGGGGUCAUCCCGACUUACCAACCCGAUGCAAACUGCGAAUACCGGAGAAUGUUAUCACGGGAGACACACGGCGGGUGCUAACGUCCGUCGUGAAGAGGGAAACAACCCAGACCGCCAGCUAAGGUCCCAAAGUCAUGGUUAAGUGGGAAACGAUGUGGGAAGGCCCAGACAGCCAGGAUGUUGGCUUAGAAGCAGCCAUCAUUUAAAGAAAGCGUAAUAGCUCACUGGUCGAGUCGGCCUGCGCGGAAGAUGUAACGGGGCUAAACCAUGCACCGAAGCUGCGGCAGCGACGCUUAUGCGUUGUUGGGUAGGGGAGCGUUCUGUAAGCCUGUGAAGGUGUGCUGUGAGGCAUGCUGGAGGUAUCAGAAGUGCGAAUGCUGACAUAAGUAACGAUAAAGCGGGUGAAAAGCCCGCUCGCCGGAAGACCAAGGGUUCCUGUCCAACGUUAAUCGGGGCAGGGUGAGUCGACCCCUAAGGCGAGGCCGAAAGGCGUAGUCGAUGGGAAACAGGUUAAUAUUCCUGUACUUGGUGUUACUGCGAAGGGGGGACGGAGAAGGCUAUGUUGGCCGGGCGACGGUUGUCCCGGUUUAAGCGUGUAGGCUGGUUUUCCAGGCAAAUCCGGAAAAUCAAGGCUGAGGCGUGAUGACGAGGCACUACGGUGCUGAAGCAACAAAUGCCCUGCUUCCAGGAAAAGCCUCUAAGCAUCAGGUAACAUCAAAUCGUACCCCAAACCGACACAGGUGGUCAGGUAGAGAAUACCAAGGCGCUUGAGAGAACUCGGGUGAAGGAACUAGGCAAAAUGGUGCCGUAACUUCGGGAGAAGGCACGCUGAUACGUAGGUGAAGUCCCUCGCGGAUGGAGCUGAAAUCAGUCGAAGAUACCAGCUGGCUGCAACUGUUUAUUAAAAACACAGCACUGUGCAAACACGAAAGUGGACGUAUACGGUGUGACGCCUGCCCGGUGCCGGAAGGUUAAUUGAUGGGGUCAGCGCAAGCGAAGCUCUUGAUCGAAGCCCCGGUAAACGGCGGCCGUAACUAUAACGGUCCUAAGGUAGCGAAAUUCCUUGUCGGGUAAGUUCCGACCUGCACGAAUGGCGUAAUGAUGGCCAGGCUGUCUCCACCCGAGACUCAGUGAAAUUGAACUCGCUGUGAAGAUGCAGUGUACCCGCGGCAAGACGGAAAGACCCCGUGAACCUUUACUAUAGCUUGACACUGAACAUUGAGCCUUGAUGUGUAGGAUAGGUGGGAGGCUUUGAAGUGUGGACGCCAGUCUGCAUGGAGCCGACCUUGAAAUACCACCCUUUAAUGUUUGAUGUUCUAACGUUGACCCGUAAUCCGGGUUGCGGACAGUGUCUGGUGGGUAGUUUGACUGGGGCGGUCUCCUCCUAAAGAGUAACGGAGGAGCACGAAGGUUGGCUAAUCCUGGUCGGACAUCAGGAGGUUAGUGCAAUGGCAUAAGCCAGCUUGACUGCGAGCGUGACGGCGCGAGCAGGUGCGAAAGCAGGUCAUAGUGAUCCGGUGGUUCUGAAUGGAAGGGCCAUCGCUCAACGGAUAAAAGGUACUCCGGGGAUAACAGGCUGAUACCGCCCAAGAGUUCAUAUCGACGGCGGUGUUUGGCACCUCGAUGUCGGCUCAUCACAUCCUGGGGCUGAAGUAGGUCCCAAGGGUAUGGCUGUUCGCCAUUUAAAGUGGUACGCGAGCUGGGUUUAGAACGUCGUGAGACAGUUCGGUCCCUAUCUGCCGUGGGCGCUGGAGAACUGAGGGGGGCUGCUCCUAGUACGAGAGGACCGGAGUGGACGCAUCACUGGUGUUCGGGUUGUCAUGCCAAUGGCACUGCCCGGUAGCUAAAUGCGGAAGAGAUAAGUGCUGAAAGCAUCUAAGCACGAAACUUGCCCCGAGAUGAGUUCUCCCUGACUCCUUGAGAGUCCUGAAGGAACGUUGAAGACGACGACGUUGAUAGGCCGGGUGUGUAAGCGCAGCGAUGCGUUGAGCUAACCGGUACUAAUGAACCGUGAGGCUUAACCUU
rnacentral:rRNA from 1 species